rnacentral:rRNA from 1 species
CCUACGGGAGGCACCAGUGGGGAAUAUUGGACAAUGGGCGAAAGCCUGAUCCAGCAAUGCCGCGUGUGUGGAGAAGGUCUUCGGAUUGCAAAGCACUUUCGACGGGGACGAUGAUGACGGUACCCGUAGAAGAAGCCCCGGCUAACUUCGUGCCAGCAGCCGCGGUAAUACGAAGGGGGCUAGCGUUGCUCGGAAUGACUGGGCGUAAAGGGCGCGUAGGCGGUUUAUGCAGUCAGAUGUGAAAUUCCCGGGCUUAACCUGGGAACUGCAUUUGAGACGCAUAGACUAGAGGUCGAGAGAGGGUUGUGGAAUUCCCUGUGUAGAGGUGAAAUUCGUAGACAUUGGGAAGAACACCGGUGGCGAAGGCGGCAACCUGGCUCGAUACUGACGCUGAGGCGCGUAAGCGUGGGGAGCAAACAGGAUUAGAUACCCGAGUAGUC